GUAUAGAUGACUCCUUCCUGAUUCUGUAAGCACUUUAAGGCUUGGCUGAGUGCAAACAGCUCGCAGGCACGUUUGAGCAGACCAAUUGUUAGGCAAUUUUCCUAACUUGGCUUCUCCAAGAGUUUCCUUAUCACUUACUGAAUACCCAUUGUGUCUUUUUCCUUCAAUCACCCAGGAGGAAGCAUCUACAGUCCUGUCCUGAAGAAAAUCUCGACAAUUAGAAAGUCUUCAGUGGAGCUGGGAAACUGAAAACUUUCCAGGGGAAGCAGAAACCCAGGUUCUGUUACUUUGCUUCUGGAGACUUGAGCUUUGAUUGAUGGUAGAGAGCAGUCUUCAACCUGGGACCCAUUCCUAGUUGUUGUACUCAUAUCCUUUUCAAAAGGUGGUUUUAUAAUCAGCUACAGGACUCUGACAGGUGCUCUCGAAGGCAGGUGUUUAAUAACUUUGGAGACUGUGACACUAGAAUAGAGGAAAAACUUCCAAGACUCUCAUAGACAGAUAUAAAGAAACUGCUUUAAGGGAUCAGAGUUGACUUAGAAAGCCAAUAAAAGCCCCUUUGGAAAGCUGGCCUCCUACCUUGUCUACCCAGUUCUUGUACAGGUUUCUGACCUGUGCUGUGCCUUCUUAAAGGCUGGAGCCUGGAGCACAUGAGGAGAAUUCACAGAAGUGCCUGGAAAGGGAACUGCGGUGGAUCUUACAGAGACUUGAAACAUGUGGAGAAGUUUGGCUUUUAUUCAUAAAGGACAAAGUGCUGCCUCCACCUCCCCACCUGUCUAGUUUUAUUCAGUGAUGUCUAUCCUCAUGACUUGGGCCAUUUUCAUCAUCACGUCUAUUUGGUUACCUAGGUCUGCCGUUUUUUGUUUUUGUUUUUUCCCAAAUGCUUUCCACAUAAGAUGGCCUAGGUGUCAAUUGCUUAUCUCAGUGGAAUCAUUUCUACUCACCUAUAAAAUGGGAGUAAUAAAAAUGCUAUGUAUCCGAUUGUUGUGAGGAUGAAAUGGGAAUACUUGGACAUGGGGCCUGGUUGCUGGUGGAGGCAUCUGCUCUGUUCCCUGCUGCAUCCCUCACUUCCUGCCAUCCUCUUGCCCCACUUCUGCAGUGCUGAGUGACAGGCCCACAGCCUCCAUGCCCUCCUGUUCCUUCCUUCUCUGCUGAUCUUUUCUGUUUCCAGACACAUCUGCCACUACUGUCUGGUCCAAACACUCUUUCACCUAGGAAGUUUAAGCACGUUGUUGAACUAGAAAUAAUGUAUUCACUCAGUUACUUAUACACACAUUCUUUUCCCACUCAUUAAAAGUGGUUUGAAAAAUUUAUUUCAUUGUUCUUAAAGUGCUGAAUCAAGUGUUUUUCCUUUGGUUGGGAAAGGCCUUUGCCGUUUACCUUCAUCCACUCAUUCAUUUGUGAAGAUGUGUGUGCAGGCCCUAUGGUGACAGUGUCUGUCUAAAGUGAAGAGCUCAGCACCCAAACUCUAGAACAUCUGAAAACGUAGCUAGAUCCUGUGUUCUCUUCUCUAACAGAGUUAAAGUUAAGGUGCAUUUACUCAGUGCCUAGGGGGUAAAAAUGUGCGGUUCAGACUUCAACCAUGUGGGUGCUGUUUUUACCCAGAAUACCAACUGAUUCCAGGAAAGAGUAUUAGGAGAUUCAAGAUUUCUAUUUCUUUUGAACAUAUGUUAUUAGAGUUAAUUGUUAGGAAACUAUUUUAAAGAUAAUUAUUUGAAUACUGAAAAUGACUUUGAUUUCUAACAGGAAGCCAGGCUCACUUGUUACUUCCACAUAUGUGAUGAAGGCAAAAGACCACAGUUGCAUACAUUUGCAUAGUUAUCCUCGAGACUGGAAAUGUCAGUAAGAUGCAAUUGAUUGACUUGCUGAUUGUCUUUCCUCAUGUGAGCGUCUUUUCCAUGUUCAUGACCCACCACUGAUAUUCUGUGGAACUGAACUAAAACUAUGGUCCCCGAAGCCUUGUUGGGGGUGUGGAGGAAGGC
rnacentral:lncRNA from 10 species